rnacentral:rRNA from 1 species
UACAGAGGGGGCGAGCGUUGUUCGGAAUUACUGGGCGUAAAGGGCGCGUAGGCGGCCAACUAAGUCAGACGUGAAAUCCCUCGGCUCAACCGGGGAACUGCGUCUGAUACUGGAUGGCUUGAAUUCGGGAGAGGGAUGCGGAAUUCCAGGUGUAGCGGUGAAAUGCGUAGAUAUCUGGAGGAAUACCGGUGGCGAAGGCGGCAUCCUGGACCAUUACUGACGCUGAGGCGCGAAAGCUAGGGGAGCAAACGGG